UGUACACCUACAACAGACAGGUUUGAGCCACACCACACGAGAGAUUUCAACUUGUGCAUGUAGGCGUGGCCUGAGGACUCAUGAGCAUGGAUGAAAGGGAACAUUUCUAGUCACAUGAGUAUUUUAUUUUUUAAUCAGACCGUUUUGGACAGUAUUUUCUACAAUAUAAAAAAAGAAAUUGGCCUGACUGACAAACUAACAGCUUCUUCUCUACAUUCCGUGGAGUCAAUUAAUAUAUAUUUCACUAUUAUUGCAGAACUAUUUCAUGCAAACCUAACCGCAGCCAAUAUUCAUACGCCCUGCGCUUCUCCUCGUCCGCCAUGAUGUCAGCAAGAGGACGUGUUGUAUUUUCUGGGUAGAACCAUUAUAUAUCAAGUCUAUGGAUAGAACUGAGGCCUGUAGCAGGGUUAUUUCAACUCUCUGAAGAAGAAAACUCUGGAUAGAAGAUGGCUCUUUGUCGGAGAACAUUUAUGGAGGACUCUCGGUGUCGUUCUUUUGGAGUUUCACAUUUCCUGCUUUCGAUGACGUGCCUCAAAUUUAAAAUCGAGAGACAUAAACCUGAACGACGAUAGAUAUCUUCUGGAUGUUUGGAGCUAAUUUUGAGCCGUUUCAGGUCUGUAUUGGGGGGGGAUUAAGAGAAUAGGCUGUUUGUCAGGACUUCUUUUCGACUACAAUGACGAAUGUAUUCAGAGGUUUCUCCGAGGAACUACCGUACCCACUGACUCCACCCACUUUUCGUCAGUUGGAGAUUGAGCAGAACAACUCGCCGCCGAAUGAGAUGAACAAAUGGCACACAGCGUUGAAGUGCAUUACCACCACCUACAGCACAACAUGCUACUCCAAAAAGCCACCCUGAAACCCCCAUGAGGAAAGGUGUGUCAAUCAGUCACCUGCAGGCUAAACCAGCUGAAGUCUUAUGACUCUAAAGUAAAACAUGCUGAGAAAAACAAGGACAGAUUUACUAGAGGGGUGCAGAUUGCCAGAAAAGGAGCUCUUUUCCCAAUUCUACCUCCAGGUGAUACAUUCUUAUAUGAAAUCAUGACACAAAAAGCCUGAAAACAUCCUUUGAAUUGCCACUGGCAGUAAAGAUGGCAUCUAUAGUGAAGGUUUGAGACAUCGCCCUCAUGUGGGGAUAUUUUUUCCAGCUCUUCUGCCGGUACAUAAACAAGCAUAAAAGGUGUUACGGUCGUCUGCCAGAGAAGUGCCCUUAGUCUCUGAUCUGGAAGAUUUUGCCUUGUAGUUUGUUUACCGUCCUCAGUCCUUACUUUGAGUCAAAAUGUAAAUACCUGAAGUCUGACAGGUCGCUGUGCCACAUUUGCCAAUCAGGAUUUCAGCUUUGGGCACGUGACGUUUUCAGUGGCUCUUAUUCCCACGGCGGAGCUCACUCGCUCAAUAUGCAGACAGACAGAUAAGCGGUGAUGAGGCUGCCGGCUCGCUGCUUCAUUGAGACGGAAUACAACAACUCAGAUUAAGACAGAUUGAAUGAAUGAAGAGUUUUUAUUCAACCAGAAGAUACAAUUUCCACCACAAGAAAAAGGAAAAACUUCUAAUUAUAUAAGACAGAGAGCCUUCAAGCUCAGCCACAGAGACGCAGAAACACCGUGGAAAGUCAUGCAGAC